rnacentral:rRNA from 1 species
AAUAUUUGACAAUGGGCGAAAGCCUGAUCCAGCCAUGCCGCGUGUGUGAAGAAGGUCUCCGGAUAGUAUAGCACUCUAAGUUGGGAGGAAGGGCAGUAAGCUAUUACCUUGCUGUUUUGACGUUACCGACAUAAUAAGCACCGGCUAACUUCGUGCCAGCAGCCAGGGUUAUACGAAAGGUGCAAGCGUUAAUCGGAAUUACUGGGCGUAAAGCGGGGGUAGGUGGGUGAUUAAGUUGGAAGGUGAAGCCCCGGGCUCAACCUGGGAACUGCUUUCAAAACUGGCAAGCUAUAGUAUGGCAGAGGGUGGUGGAAUUUCCUGUGUAGGGGUGAAAUGCGUAGAUAUAGAAAGGAACAACAGUGGCGAAGGCGACCACCUGGGCUAAUACUGACACUGAGGUGCGAAAGCGUGGGGAGCAAACA